CAUCUUCUAAUUCGAUUCCCACAAUUUUUGGUGAUUUUUCAAAGUUGGCACACUGCUACUGCCCAAAACUGUUUUAGUGCAACAUAUUUGAUUACCAUUUUGACCCUAAACUUUUAUCACAUGACAAUUUCAUCCCUAGGCUCUGAAAAUGAAAUUCUUGCAAUUUAAUCCUUGAUCCAAGCCUAAUAAUUCUCAUACAUAUCAAUAGCAGCCCAUGGAUUCCAUGAAAUUUCAGAAUUUUUCCACAAUUUUAAUACUUUUCAACUUAAUCCCUAAAACAUGUUUUCAU
rnacentral:lncRNA from 1 species